rnacentral:rRNA from 1 species
CUUUGACCAAAGCAAGUUGGUGGGUUAAUUGCCUAGAAAAGAUUUUUCAUAUGUCUUACUCGCCCGUACCGUAAACCGACACAGGUGGGUGAGUGUAAAUGCACUAAGGCGCGCGAGAGAGACCUCUCUAAGGAACUCGGCACAUUAGCCUCGUAACUUCGGGAAAAGAGGUGCUCACUUCGGUGAGCCACAGUAAAUUGCGUUUAGCGACUGUUUAACAAAAACACAGCACUCUGCUAAGUCGUUAAGACGACGUAUAGGGUGUGACACGUGACCAAUGCGGAAAGAUUAAGGCAUUUUGUUAGCCGCAAGGCGAAGCUCGGUGCCAAAGUCCCCGUGAAUGUCGGCCGUAACUAUAACGGUCCUAAGGUAGCGAAAUUCCUUGUCGGGUAAGUUCCGACCUGCACGAAUCGUGUAACGACUGAACGACUGUCUCGGAGAGGAUCUCGGCGAAACUGUAACUGCGGUGAAGAUGCCGCAUGCCCGCAGUAGGACGGAAAGACCCUAUGCACCUUUACUGUAAGCUGGUAUUGUGUUCUGAUUAAUAAUGCGUAGCGUAGGUGGGAGGCUUUGAAGUGAGUGCUUCGGUGCUCAUGGAGCCGCAAUGUGAAACACCACUCUUUGCUAAUUAGGAUUCUAACCUCGAUUCCUGUCAACCAGGCGAGGGACAGUGCUUGCGGGUCAGUUUGACUGGGGCGGUUUCCUCCCAAAGAGUAACGGAGGAGCGCGAAGCUUGGCUCAGCACGGUUGGCAACCGUGCGUCGAGCGUAUGGGUAUAAGCCAGGUUAACUGUGAGACCUACAAGUCGAGCAGAUGCGAAAGCAGGCCCAAAUGAUCCGAUGGUUUAAUGUGGAAUUGCCAUCGCUCAACGGACAAAAGGUACGCUAGGGAUAACAGGCUGAUCGGUUCCAAGAGUUCACAUCGACGAACCGGUUUGGCACCUCGAUGUCGGCUCAUCGCAUCCUGGGGCUGGAGAAGGUCCCAAGGGUCCGGCUGUUCGCCGGUUAAAGCGGUACGCGAGCUGGGUUCAGAACGUCGUGAGACAGUUCGGUCCUUAUCCACUGUGGGCGCAGGAAUCUUGAGGGGUUCAUUCUCUAGUACGAGAGGACCGAGAAUGACGCACUUCUGGUGUGGCAGUUGUUCCAUCAGGGGCAUCGCUGCGUAGCCAUGUGCGGAAGAGAUAAGCGCUGAAAGCAUCUAAGUGCCAAGCUCAUCCCAAGAUAUGGAUUCCCGGACGCAAGUCCCUAAAGACCCCCGGCAGACUACCGGGUUGAUAGGUCAGGCAUGUAAGCGUCGCGAGAUGUUUAGUGGACUGAUACUAAUUGGUCGUGCGGCUUGAUCGC